UCUCUCGUAGCUUAGUGGUCAAAGCAUUGGCGCGUAAAGCCAAAGAGCCCGGGUUCGAUUCCCGGCGAGGGUG
rfam:Agrilus planipennis Contig26731, whole genome shotgun sequence.